AUUGAACGCUGGCGGCAUGCUUUACACAUGCAAGUCGAACGGCAGCGCGGGCUUCGGCCUGGCGGCGAGUGGCGAACGGGUGAGUAAUGCAUCGGAACGUGCCCAGCAGUGGGGGAUAGCCCGGCGAAAGCCGGAUUAAUACCGCAUACGACCUGAGGGUGAAAGCGGGGGACCGAAAGGCCUCGCGCUAUUGUAGCGGCCGAUGUCGGAUUAGCUAGUUGGUGGGGUAAAGGCUUACCAAGGCGACGAUCCGUAGCUGGUCUGAGAGGACGACCGGCCACACUGGGACUGAGACACGGCCCAGACUCCUACGGGAGGCAGCAGUGGGGAAUUUUGGACAAUGGGGGCAAACCUGAUCCAGCCAUGCCGCGUGCGGGAAGAAGGCCUUCGGGUUGUAAACCGCUUUUGUUCGGGAAGAAAUCCUCUGGGCUAAUACCCCGGGGGGAUGACGGUACCGGAAGAAUAAGCACCGGCUAACUACGUG
rnacentral:rRNA from 1 species